CGGCGGACGGGUGAGUAACGCGUGGGUAACCUGCCUCAUACAGGGGGAUAACAGUUAGAAAUGACUGCUAAUACCGCAUAAGACCACAGCACCGCAUGGUGCGGGGUAAAACUCCGGUGGUAUGAGAUGGACCCGCGUCUGAUUAGCUAGUUGGUAAGGUAACGGCUUACCAAGGCGACGAUCAGUAGCCGACCUGAGAGGGUGACCGGCCACAUUGGGACUGAGACACGGCCCAA
rnacentral:rRNA from 1 species